rnacentral:lncRNA from 1 species
AAUUUAAAUUUUGAUGGGUAAUUGUAAGAUUGGGUUAAUUUCUUGUUCUGGGUCCUAUUUUGUUUUGUUAAGACAUGGCUAUUUUUCAUUCCAUGUGUUGUUUAAUUGAAUGUGUAGAUUACUGAGAUUAGAUAGGUGAUUUAGAUCAUUGAAUUUAAAAAUUGGAUUAAUAUAGGUUUUUGAGCUGGUUGGUGUGCUAGCUAGCUAUUGGGCUUGAAUGUUUAAUAUUAUAAAUUUGCCAAUUGGUGUAUGCCAAGAUAAUCGUGCUAUUGCAAAC